GACGAACGCUGGCGGCGUGCUUAACACAUGCAAGUCGAACGGAAAGGCCCUUCGGGGUACUCGAGUGGCGAACGGGUGAGUAACACGUGGGUGAUCUGCCCUGCACUUUGGGAUAAGCCUGGGAAACUGGGUCUAAUACCGAAUAGGACCACGCGCUUCAUGGUGUGUGGUGGAAAGCUUUUGCGGUGUGGGAUGGGCCCGCGGCCUAUCAGCUUGUUGGUGGGGUAAUGGCCUACCAAGGCGACGACGGGUAGCCGGCCUGAGAGGGUGACCGGCCACACGGGGACUGGGAUACGGCCCAGCUCCUUCCGGGGGGCGGCGGUGGGGAAAAUUGCACAAGGGGCGCAAGCCUGAGGCAGGGACGCCGCGGGGGGGAUGACGGCCUUCGGGUUGAAACCCUUUUUCAAUAGGGACGAAGCGAAAGUGACGGUACCAAUAGAAGAAGCCCCGGCCAACUCCGG
rnacentral:rRNA from 1 species